rnacentral:tRNA from 1 species
GGAGAGAUGGCUGAGUGGUUUAAAGCGCACGCCUGGAGAGCGUGAGUGCCCAAAAGGCACCGUGGGUUCGAAUCCCUCUCUCUCCGCCA